rnacentral:misc_RNA from 1 species
CAACCCUCAAGCCCCCGGCUUGGUAUUGGGCGUCACCGGCGACGGUGUGCCUCAAAAUCAGUGGCGGUGCCAUCUGGCUCUAAGCGUAGUAACACUCUCGCUCUAGGUGCCCGGCGGUCGCUAGCCAGCAACCCCAUCUUCUCAA